UACGAAGGGGGCUAGCGUUGUUCGGAAUUACUGGGCGUAAAGCGCACGUAGGCGGAUAUUUAAGUCAGGGGUGAAAUCCCAGAGCUCAACUCUGGAACUGCCUUUGAUACUGGGUAUCUUGAGUAUGGAAGAGGUAAGUGGAAUUGCGAGUGUAGAGGUGAAAUUCGUAGAUAUUCGCAGGAACACCAGUGGCGAAGGCGGGUUGCUGGGCUGAUACUGACGCUGAGGCGCGAAAGCCAGGGGAGCGAACGGG
rnacentral:rRNA from 1 species